GACGAACGCUGGCGGCGUGCCUAAUACAUGCAAGUAGAACGCUGAAGGAGGAGCUUGCUUCCCUGGAUGAGUUGCGAACGGGUGAGUAACGCGUAGGUAACCUGCCUGGUAGCGGGGGAUAACUAUUGGAAACGAUAGCUAAUACCGCAUAAGAGUAGAUGUCGCAUGACAUUUGCCUAAAAGGUGCAAUUGUAUCACUACCAGAUGGACCUGCGUUGUAUUAGCUAGUUGGUGAGGUAACGGCUCACCAAGGCAACGAUACAUAGCCGACCUGAGAGGGUGAUCGGCCACACUGGGACUGAGACACGGCCCAGACUCCUACGGGAGGCAGCAGUAGGGGAGCUUCGGCAAUGGACGGAAGUCUGACCGAGCAACGCCGCGUGAGUGAAGAAGAUUGUCGGAUCGUAAAGAUCUGUUGUAAGAGAAGAACGAGUGUGAGAGUGGAAAGUUCACACUGUGACGGUAUCUUACCAGAAAGGGACGGCUAACUACGUG
rnacentral:rRNA from 1 species